rnacentral:rRNA from 1 species
UACGUAGGGCGCAAGCGUUGUCCGGAAUUAUUGGGCGUAAAGAGCUCGUAGGCGGCCUGUUGCGUCCGCUGUGAAAUCCCGGGGCUCAACCCCGGGCCUGCAGUGGAUACGGGCUGGCUAGAGGCAGGCAGGGGAGACUGGAAUUCCUGGUGUAGCGGUGAAAUGCGCAGAUAUCAGGAGGAACACCGGUGGCGAAGGCGGGUCUCUGGGCAGUAACUGACGCUGAGGAGCGAAAGCGUGGGGAGCGAACAGG